rnacentral:sRNA from 1 species
UCGCAGUGGGGGUUAGCCUCGAAAGAGA